GGGAGGGCAGAGAGGAAGGGGCCGACCCGGGGCCGCGGGAAACUCGGGAGGAAAAUGCAUUGGGUGAGAGGCAGCUAAGCGAGAAAGUUCUGAGGUUGGCACCUUGUGUGGAGCUAGCGGGAAGCCCGUGGUGCCUACGGCCUUUGGCUGUGCCUCACGGUCGUCGGGGAAGAUGGGGGCGCCCCUGGAAUGAAGGGCGCGUCUCCCCGGGGGUCCCUGCUGGUCAUUACAGGCGCGCUUCUCCUUGCGUUUGGAUGAGGUUCCUGUUGGCGUUUCUAAACAGCCCUUCUCCUAAGUCACCAGCGGAGUGUUUCAUUCCAAAGGAAGGGCUUUGGGUGCAGCAGCGACUCCUGUUAGCAAGUGAGUCCCUGGCAAGUCAUAGAGGCUGAAGAGUCACUGGGGGUCUCCGGGGGGAGAUCUUCUGGGGUCUGCCAUGCCGCUCUUCAGUAUACUGACUCAGCAGUGCCUGGCUGGGGGAGUGGGACGCCCACUGUCUUCCUCCCAGGGUCUGCCUGCCGUUUCUUUGGGGACACGGAAAGGCAAGCCUCAGUUUGUGCUGUCUCCGGUCAUCUCUGCUCCCAGAUUGAGACGGUCUGGGUUCCAGAGGGCGGCGGAGGGUCAGCUGGCUGGCCGGUCGGGGCCUUGUCCGGUUAGCUUUGGCGGAGGAGGGCUGAUGUUGGAGGGCGGAGGCGUAUGGAUCAGGGAGCUCCCCGGGGUGAGCUUGUGCGGAGGGAGGCCUGGCAGAGAGAAGAGACUCUGCCCUGGGAGCCAAGCGGGACUAGUUCUGAGCGAGGGCACCGGCAGGAGACGCGUGUGGCCGCUCCAAGGCCACUUUGGGGGAGCCGGCGAAGACGAUUCUUGUUGCACGCAGGUAUGAUGGCGUUCAGUUGGUUCACACUCAGUUCCAGCAAACGCAUCGUGUGCGGACGGUUGAUGCCCUGCGUGUCUGGAACUAAGACGCCUCUCUUGCCUAUGCGCGGUGGUAGCAGGCUGGUGGCUCCGGGCUGGGUUCUGUCCAUAGAUGUGUUGUGUUUGAGCCAUACGCGUUGCCGAAGAAAGAGGAAGGAAUUGAUGGCCGGCCCUUAAAAAUCAGGAAAUCGCUCACAUAUCUCAGAUUUCUGGUUCUCUUGAAAAAUGACAAACUCUGGUAACUCUGCGGCCUUGUUUCCUACCAGGUGGCGGGGUGGGGCAGGGGGUGGGCGCCACUCCCCCCACCAGCCACGUCUCGGAUUUCUGUUUCCCACUUGGGCCGUUGACAUUUGAGUCUGCAGCCCCUUCCUUGGAGACACCAUUUGUGUGUGUUCGCGUUUCAUCCGGACUUUGAAAUCUUUGCCCCAUUCCUCCAUCGAUUCCUUCCUCAGUUGCUCUGCACCAGCUCUGUCCAGCUCCGCACGAGGCUCCGGGGAGCUGGCGUUGAACUCAGCAGACAUCACCGUGCACACAGGCCCUGGCCCUGGCAGUGUGGGGAGCACCGGAGAGAUGCUUUGUCCAGCAUCUCCUAAGGGGCCUGGACUUGUUCUGGUCCUUGGAAUACAACCCACCGCCCCAUCCCCCUCCUGGGCCUCACCUCCUAACUGGGCAGAUACUCAGAAUAGACACCGUGAGAACGUAGACUGUCACUCACCGAACCCCCCGGCCAGUUCUACAGGCUCCCUGUGACCCCGAACUGCCCGCUGGGGCUGAUGUGGUACACGCUCCCCAGUGCACCGCCUGAGGACAGAAUAAAUACGGCGUCUCAGACUCCAGUGUAUGUGUUUCAGAUGUGUGGAGAGGCUUUUGUUGUAAAUUAAAAAGCAACAUUUAUCCUGA